rnacentral:tRNA from 1 species
GGGGUCGUAGCUUAACUGGCUAAAGCACCACUAUGGCAUAGUGGGGAGUGUGGGUUCGAGUCCCAUCGACUCCA